UCCCAGUUAGUAUAGUGGCUAGUAUCCGACCCUGUCAAUCAUCUUUGAUGACCUGAACGGUUGAGACCCGGGUUCAAUUCCCGGACUGGGAG